UACGUAGGGUGCGAGCGUUUGGUCCGGAAGUUAUUGGGCGUAAAGAGCUCGUAGGUGGCGGGUCACGUCGGGUGUGAAAGCCCGGGGCUUAACUCCGGGUCUGCAUUCGAUACGGGUCUGCUGGGGUCCGGCAGGGGAGACUGGAAUUCCUGGUGUAGCGGUGAAAUUCGUAGAUAUUCGGAAGAACACCAGUGGCGAAGGCGGCCCGCUGGACAUGUAUUGACGCUGAGGUGCGAAAGCGGUGGGGAGCAAAGCAGGGAUUAAGAA
rnacentral:rRNA from 1 species